UUUCUAGAGAUAGAAAGUUACUUCGGUACAUCGGUGACAGGUGGUGGCAUGGUUGUCGUCAGCUCGUGUCGUGAGAUGUUGGGUUAAGUCCCGCAACGAGCGCAACCCCGCCGUUAGUUGCCAGCGGUUCGGCCGGGCACUCUAACGGGACUGCCCGCGAAAGCGGGAGGAAGGAGGGGGACGACGUCUGGUCAGCAUGGCCCUUACGGCCUGGGCGACACACGUGCUACAAUGCCCACUACAAAGCGAGGCCACCCGGCAACGGGGAGCUAAUCGCAAAAAGGUGGGCCCAGUUCGGAUUGGGGUCUGCAACCCGACCCCAUGAAGCCGGAAUCGCUAGUAAUCGCGGAUCAGCCAUGCCGCGGUGAAUACGUUCCCGGGCCUU
rnacentral:rRNA from 1 species